AAAUUGAAGAGUUUGAUCAUGGCUCAGAUUGAACGCUGGCGGCAGGCCUAACACAUGCAAGUCGAGCGGCAGCGGGAAAGUAGCUUGCUACUUUUGCCGGCGAGCGGCGGACGGGUGAGUAAUGCCUGGGGAUCUGCCCAGUCGAGGGGGAUAACAGUUGGAAACGACUGCUAAUACCGCAUACGCCCUACGGGGGAAAGCAGGGGACCUUCGGGCCUUGCGCGAUUGGAUGAACCCAGGUGGGAUUAGCUAGUUGGUGAGGUAAUGGCUCACCAAGGCGACGAUCCCUAGCUGGUCUGAGAGGAUGAUCAGCCACACUGGAACUGAGACACGGUCCAGACUCCUACGGGAGGCAGCAGUGGGGAAUAUUGCACAAUGGGGGAAACCCUGAUGCAGCCAUGCCGCGUGUGUGAAGAAGGCCUUCGGGUUGUAAAGCACUUUCAGCGAGGAGGAAAGGUUGGUAGCGAAUAACUGCCAGCUGUGACGUUACUCGCAGAAGAAGCACCGGCUAA
rnacentral:rRNA from 1 species